UCAGUAACUCUGUGAUGUCAUACAUUGAGUAAAGGUCCAAUGUCAAAGAUUUAACAUUGAACUUUGCUCAUACCGGACUCACACUCAGUCAUAUAGUGUACUUAGUUGGUUGGCACGCUUAUAGCUACGGAGGGGACUAACCGUGUGUUUUUCAAAUGUCAUCAAUUCCACAUCAUUCACGUCAUGUGGGAAUUGGAGCACAUGAACACUUGCGGUGGGGAAAAAAAACGUAAUCACAAGGGCGGUCCUUGUCAUUCCCAGAUGCCAUGAAUGCACUGUAAUGAUGGGGUACAGUGGAAUACAUCCAUAUGCUGUAAUAUUUACACAUGGAUUUUUAAAGUGCUGCAUGGGCAAAAAUAAACUGUUGCACAUGCUUUCAACGUCUCUAUCCAUGUAGAGUCACUGUUGGAAGGUUUUACGAUGGCACUUGGACUGUCCACAUUACCUUGCUAAUGGAGUGGAAGUGGGCAGGGAGAAGGUGUAGGAGGUGGUUGUAAAAUGGUGUGUGCAUGAUGGAUCCAGCUAAAAUCCUUCA